GAAUAAAAAAAUGUUAUUGAUUUCUCCAUAUUGUGUUUUUGAUGUAAUGGUUCAGAACGAUUUAGCACUAUUGGACUUUAGGAUUAUCAGUUUAGGACUCGAAUUGUCCUAUUUCCCCAAGGAGUUGUUUGGUGUGAGGUAUAAGAAAUUCUAGGGAUAAAAUCUUGCAUUUGGUUAGAGGUAUUAGGCAGUUUUGGAACUAUUUAUCCCACUCUUUAUACCUUAGUGAUGAGAUAAGUUAUUCCAUAUAUAUGGUGGAAUAACUUAUCCCAGGAAAACUCAGGAUAAUUAAUUUUGAGAUAACUUGUUUCCAACCAAAUGACCCUUAGCGGUUCAACCUAUAACCCGAUAAACUUAUUAUAAUAAUAAAAAAACC
rnacentral:lncRNA from 1 species